GCCCGGCCAGUAUGGUGGCUAUGACCCUCUGUUUGUAACCGAGUGGGUUCGGGUUCGAAUCCCGAGUAAGACA
rnacentral:tRNA from 1 species